GCAGGUCGGAAACCAGAUCACUGGAACCAAGUCACUGCAGGAUGUGGGCAUCAAAUUUCCUUCUCCUUGUGAAGACCUGUCUUUUCGGCUAUUGAAGUCCUGGGAAUUUCAAAGGCACUGACCGAUCAUGGGACAGUAGGAACCCAAGUGAACAAUGGCCCAACCUUGAGGGACGGCUCCGGCUCCAGUCAGGGUCACCCGCCCCGUGGCCUCCCCUUCCUUCCAACACAGCCUCGUCAUCUGUCGGGAACCAGGGCUUCUCCCAGGCCUGGCACACGGUCUGUGCUGUGUGCAAGGUCUCAAAAGGCAUAAAGGCGUGUACUGGAUUUAAUGCACAUUCAUCCAGUCAUUGGUUUGUCCGCCGAGCAGUCGCCGCAAGGGAGUCAGCGAGGACAGGGCUUUGGGCCUGUUUUGUUGGCAGUCUGUAAACCCAGGGGAGGACGGUGCCUGCCACAUGCUUGGUGCUUGGCACCUACUGGUUGGAUGAACAAGUGAGUAUCUUCUCUGUGCCAGGAUGCCUGGUGUGGGAAAGCCAAGGUAGGGGACAAUCUCUCCUGUCCAUGAACUUGCAGUCCUGCAGUAGAACUCCCCAUCCUCAAGACAUCUCCCCG
rnacentral:lncRNA from 12 species